AAAAAAUAUCACACACCAAGAUAAACUCAUAAAGGGGAAGUCCUUUAUAAACGCUGGACUAUAUUAACCUAUGGAACGAAUGGAAACCUACUGUUGAAUUCGUGACUCCUGAUGAAAGAAUAUCUUUUGGUUCCACAAAGCCAGAAUUCUAUGAUACUGUUGUUCAUAUUGAAGGUUUCACACUUUUCCAAUGGAAAUAUAUAUGCCU
rnacentral:lncRNA from 1 species